rnacentral:rRNA from 1 species
UACGUAGGCAGCAAGCGUUGUUCGGAAUUACUGGGCGUAAAGAGCUCGUAGGCGGCUUGGCAAGUCGGGUGUGAAAACUUCAGGCUCAACCUGGAGCGGCCACUCGAUACUGCCAUGGCUUGAGUCCGGUAGGGGACCACGGAAUUCCUGGUGUAGCGGUGAAAUGCGCAGAUAUCAGGAGGAACACCAGUGGCGAAGGCGGUGGUCUGGGCCGGAACUGACGCUGAGGAGCGAAAGCGUGGGUAGCAAACAGG